GGAACUGUUGAAUUGGGGGGAAACUACACAGAGUUAAACAAAAACAAAUGCGGCCAAACUUCCUGGGGCGACUGUGUUGCUAUUGUUUUCGCUCGUUUCUGAGGAUCCGUAGUGAGUAGCGUGUACUUUAAAAAGUCUCACCAUCUAGGACCAACUGCAGUACCUCUCAAAAUUUACUUAAGCGGGAUCCACACGCCUUCCCAAUCCCUUGGAUGGAAAGAAAGAGCGCUCGUUUCUCAAAGAAACGACCAAUGUGCCGAAGGUAUCGUGGGUGCGUCUUCGUGACUGCCUAUUGAGUUCACCUGCGAAUGACUUAAAGCCUACAAGUAAUGCAUUCAACCACUUUGUAAAUGGCGAGGCAUCGGCAAUGGGCACCUACCUACCGCGCAGGGGUCGCCGAGCAGGGUAUUGGAGACGACCUUCUGCAAGUUAUUCUUACACUUCCUUCAGUGCAGCGCCAGUCUCCAUAAAGUACAAUUUUGUAAGGUUUUCACUCACCCGCUUCGGUAUCCAAAGUUUCUUACGGCGCCUAUCUGCUGUCCGCACACCCUCAGACCGGCGCAACAAACGACAGAUGAUGGCAGCGGCCCUGGCAUCUUAUGACAGCUCGGCAGCCGCGGGGUCGCGCCAAAAGCAGACAACACGUAGCUGGAAUCACUCGACGAAUCGUCGGUUUUAUUUGUUUUGUGUUUAGUUGCUGUUUUAUUGGGAACAAUAAAGGAAAAACACAAAGGGGCAUUGCCGUCAUUGGUGCUUUCGACUGCGGGCGACACAAUUGAACGUGAGCAACUCUGGAGGCAGGUAGGUUUUCCAACGUCAAGGUGCAGAACGUUCACUCUGCAGCAAGAUGGAGAAGUACAGGAAGGUGCAGAUGCUGCGGACGUAUUAGAAGAGGUCGCAGUGGGGGACGCUUCACUAUUCGGCAUCACAUGGACGGACGCUGUCGUUGGUGGAGCUGGCAACCAGCUGCCAAGGCCCUGUAACAUUGUGACCUCAAAUGCUAGCAUUAGGAAGAUACUUUCAAUUCACUAUGCGAGACACUCGAGGGCGCACACCGUUCUGCAGCUGCUUGGCAGUGCCACUGGCAACGAUGUGUAGAGUCGCGUCGUCCAGUGCAAUCUAAUGCGUCUGUCGCAGCUCCGUCUUUGUGCAGCUGUGUUCCUUUAUCUCGCUAGGGAGUAAAGGUCGCCUGUCUCGACAUUGAAAGCGCUACCCGCGUUGCCUUAUACGUGUUCUCGCGUGGCAAGAAGCUUGGAUUCAAUCGUGAAAGCGUCGAUGACGGUAACGCACUGCCACGUGUUUCCUGUAUCUACACUGGAAUAUGGUUCAACGAAGUGCUCAAACCAUGUUCAAAGUUCGUUACUAACUACUACGGCACGACAUUUUAAACUAAGGUCGGCUGCCAUGUUUGGUUUUCUAUGCAAAGUACUUCCACUAAAACCCGCACUGUGGCGCCACCGCCUCGUUUCAGUUAAAUAAAAUUCUGGGUAUCAUUUAAA